GCCGAGGGGGCAGGGGGUGGCCUCGAGAGGGGCACAAAGACCCCUGAACCCCUCCCAUGGUGGGCACUGGAGUCUCUCCUGGAUGGGCCUGGCCCCAAAUCCAUGGAUCCCUCCCCUCUGGCAGCACCACCAUAUCCCCCUGGGCAGAGCUGGGGCUCAGGGGUGGCUCCCACCUGCCCUUCCCGCUCAGAAUUCCCUGGUUUGGGACUCAGUGCUGGCUCCCACCUGCCCUUCCCGCUCAGAAUUCCCUGGUUUGGGAUAAAUGAGCCCAAAAUCCCUCCCUUGGGGGGCUCUGCUGGGCUGGGGCUGCUCUGGGUGGGGUCCCCCCGGGCUGUGACCCCCCUGGACUCCUCCCCUGGAUGGAUUUUCUGCCAUUUCUGACCUGGCCAAGGGGUUGAAAUCCCCUUUUCCACCCGGGACCAGCAGCAGUCCCGCCCCAGCCCUGUGCCCAGCUCCAGAUCCGCCUCCCACGGGGCUGGAAGGGCAGGGACCCUCCUGGAGCCCCGAGCCCAGGGCAGCAAAUGGGAAGUGGAGAGAAAACCCCGGGUUGUGAGCAGAGCAGGAGCUUCCAGACCCUCAGGGGCCUCCCCCUCUCCUCCCUUCCCCAGGGCCCAGCCAGGAAGAGCUGCUGUUCCCAGGGGCUGAGCCGUGGAUCAGAGCGGGCUGGGACCCCCAGCCAGGGCGUGGGGGGGAAUUUGGGCACCCCCAAUAAAGGAUUUGUUCCCCC